UUGGGCACUCUAAUGAGACUGCCGGUGACAAGCCGGAGGAAGGUGGGGAUGACGUCAAGUCCUCAUGGCCCUUAUAGGUGGGGCUACACGCGUCAUACAAUGGCUGGUACAAAGGGUUGCCAACCCGCGAGGGGAGCCAAUCCCAUAGAGCCAGUCGUAGUCCGGAUCGUAGUCUGCAACUCGACUACGUGAAGUCGGAAUCGCUAGUAAUCGUGGAUCAGAAUGUCACGGUGAAUACGUUCCCGGGUCUU
rnacentral:rRNA from 1 species